rnacentral:rRNA from 1 species
CUUAACGGUAGAAUUGCCAUUGAUACUGCGAGUCUUGAGUAUGGUUGAGGUAGGCGGAAUGUGCAGUGUAGCGGUGAAAUGCAUAGAGAUUGCACAGAACACCGAUUGCGGAGGCAGCUUACUAAGCCAUAACUGACGCUGAGGCACGAAAGCGUGGGGAGCGAACAGGAUUAGAUACCCUGGUAGUCCACGCUGUAAACGAUGUUCACUCGCUGUUUGCGAUACACAGUAAGCGGCUGAGCGAAAGCAUUAAGUGAACCACCUGGGGAGUACGAUCGCAAGGUUGAAACUCAAAGGAAUUGACGGGGGCCCGCACAAGCGGAGGAACAUGUGGUUUAAUUCGAUGAUACGCGAGGAACCUUACCUGGGCUUAAAUGUAGGCUGCAUUCCCGAGAAAUCGGGAUUCCCUUCGGGGCUG